GACGAACGCUGGCGGCGUGCUUAACACAUGCAAGUCGAACGGAAGGGCCCCUUUGGGGGUACUCGAGUGGCGAACGGGUGAGUAACACGUGAGUAACCUGCCCUUGACUUCGGGAUAACUUCAGGAAACUGGGGCUAAUACCGGAUAGGAAUCCUUGCUGCAUGGUGGGGGUUGGAAAGCUUCGGCGGUUUUGGAUGGACUCGCGGCUUAUCAGCUUGUUGGUGGGGUAGUGGCUUACCAAGGCUUUGACGGGUAGCCGGCCUGAGAGGGCGACCGGCCACAUUGGGACUGAGAUACGGCCCAGACUCCUACGGGAGGCAGCAGUGGGGAAUAUUGCACAAUGGGCGGAAGCCUGAUGCAGCAACGCCGCGUGCGGGAUGACGGCCUUCGGGUUGGAAACCGCUUUCAGCAGGGGCGAAGCUUGUGGUGACGGUACCUGCAGAAGAAGCACCGGCUAACUACGUG
rnacentral:rRNA from 1 species